AGUGAACGCUGGCGGCGUGCCUAAUACAUGCAAGUCGAACGCGAAAGUCCUUCGGGAUGAGUAAAGUGGCGCACGGGUGAGUAAUGGUUGAGAACGUGCCCUGAGGUGGGGAAUAACAGUUGGAAACGACUGCUAAUACCGCAUGGUUUCGAAAGAAUAAAGGUGGGGAUCGCAAGACCUACCGCCACAGGAUCGGCUCAACUCCCAUUAGCUAGUUGGUAGGGUAAUGGCCUACCAAGGCAACGAUGGGUAUCUGGUCUUAGAGGAUGAUCAGACACACUGGAACUGAGACACGGUCCAGACUCCUACGGGAGGCAGCAGUAGGGAAUAUUGCACAAUGGGGGAAACCCUGAUGCAGCAACGCCGCGUGAGUGAAGAAGGCCCUUGGGUUGUAAAGCUCUUUAGCCUGGAAAGAAGUGGCUGUAAGUAAAUAAUUUGCAGGUGUGACGGUACCAGGAGAAUAAGGACCGGCUAAUUUCGUGCCAGCAGCCGCCGUAA
rnacentral:rRNA from 1 species